UGAAUCCAGGUCAGGCGGGGCUACCUACUGAGUUUAAGCAUAUCAAUAAGCAGAGGACAAGAAACUUACGAGGAUUCCCUUAGUAACGGCGAACCAGGAAGAGCCCAGCUUGAGAAUUGGGUGGCUUUGUCGUUUGAAUUGUAGUUUGUAGAAGCAUCCUCAGUGGAGGACCGGGCCCAAGUCCCCUGGAAGGGGGCACCGGAGAGAGUGAGAGCCCCAUUUUGUCUGAACCCUAUCGCACCACAAGGCACUGUCGGUGAGUCAGGUUGUUUGGGAAUGCACCCCCAAUUGGGCAGUAAAUUCCAUCCAAGGCUCAAUAUGGGCGAGAGACAUAUAGCAAACAAGUACCACGAGGGAAAGAUGAAAAGGACUUUGAAAAGAGAGUCAAAGAGUGCUUGAAAUUAUCGAGAGGGAAGCAGAUGGGGGGUCGGUGAUGCGUCUCGAUCGGAUGCAUAACAGUUAAUAGCCGAUCCACCGCUCGACUCGGGGCGUGGACCGAUGUGGAUUGUGGCAGCAUCCCAAGCCCGGGUUGUCGCGUUAUGCCUAGGGAGAUGUCAUCACCGCGAUUAUGGUAGGCAGCAUACACCUCAAUGGCGUGCCUACUAGCAACUAUAUGCUCCGGGCAUCGGCCUGUCGAGCUCCCCAUUCGACCCGUCUUGAAACACGGACUAAGGAGUCUGAUAUGUGUGCGAGUUAACGAGCGAGUAAAACCCAUAAGGUGUAUGGAAACUGACUAGUAGGAUCCCCUUGUGGGUUGCACCACCGACCAACCUUGAUCUUCUGUGAAGGGUUCUAGUGAGAGCAUACCUGUCGGGACCCGAAAGAUGGUGAACUAUGCCUGAGUGGGGUGAAGCCAGAGGAAACUCUGGUGGAGGCCCACCGUGAUAUUGAUGUGCAAAUCGUUCAUCUGACUUGGGUAUACGGGCAAAAGACUAAUCGAACCAUCUAGUAGCCGGUUCCCUCUAAAGUUUCCCUUAGGAUAGCUGGAGCCCAUGGGUGAGUUCUAUUGAGUAAAGCCUAUGAUUAAAGGCAUCGGGGGUACAAUGCCCUCGACCUAUUCUCAAACUUUAAAUAGGUAGGAUGGUGUGGCUGCUUCAUUGUGCCGCACCAUGGAAUCGAGAGCUCCAAGUGGGCCAUUUUUGGUAAGCACAACUGGCGAUGUGGGAUGAACUAGAAGCCGGGUUACAGUGCCAAAUUGCACGCUAACCUAGAACCCACAAAGGGUGUUGGUCGAUUAAGACAGUAAGAUGGUGGUCAUAGAAGUCGAAAUCCGUUAAGGAGUGUGUAACAACUCACCUGCCGAAUCAACUAGCCUUGAAAAUGGAUGGCACUGAAGCGUGUAACCUAUACCCGGUCGUCGGGGCAACUACCAGGCCCCAAUGAGUAGGAAGGCAUGGUGGUUGCCGUAAAACCUGGGGCGUGAGCCUGGGCGGAGUGGCCGUCGGUGUAGAUCUUGGUCGUAGUAGGAAAUAUUCAAAUGAGAACUUUGAAGGCCAAAGAGGGGAAAGGUUCCAUGUGAAUGGCACUUACACAUGGGUUAGUCGAUACUAAGGGACAGGGGAAGCCCAUCAGAGAGCGUGUACGCGCAUGUGCUCCGAAAGGGAAUCGGGUUAAAAUUCUUGAAUCGAGACGUGGCGGUUAACGGCAACGUUAAGAAGUCCAGAGAUGUCGACAGGGGCCUUAGGAAGAGUUAUCUUUUCUGUUUAAUAGCCUGCCCACCUUGGAAACAGGUUAGUCGAAGGUAGGGUCCAGUGGCUGGAAGAGCACCGCACGUCGUGUGGUGUCUGGUGCGCCCCCGGUGGCCCUUGAAAAUCCAAAGGACCGAGUGCCGACCAUGCCUGGUCGUACUUAUAAUUGCAUUAGGUCUCCAAGGUGAAAAACCUCUGGUCGAUGGAACAAUGUAGGCAAGAGAAGUUGGAAAAAUGGAUCUGUAACCUCGGGAAAAGGAUUGGCUCUGAGGGCUGGGCACGGGUGUCCUAGUCCCGAACCCAUCGGUUGGCGGUGGACUGCUCAAGCUACUUUUACGGUGAGAGCGGGUCGCAGCAUGCUGGUCGGGGCCUUACCCGGGUGUCGAAUAGUCGACUCAGAAUUGGUACAGACAAGGGGAAUCUAACUGUUUAAUUAAAACAAAGCAUUGCGAUGGUCCCUGCGAAUGCUCACGCAAUGUGAUUUCUGCCCAGUGAUCUAAAUGUCAAAGUGAAAAAAUUCAACCAGGAGCAGGCAAACGGUGGGAGUAACUAUGACUCUCUUAAGGUAGCCAAAUGCCUCGUUAUCUAAUUAGUGACGUGCAUAAAUGAUUAACGAGAUUCCCAAUGUCCCUGUCUACUAUCUAGCGAAGCCACAGCCAAGGGAAUAGGCUUGGCAGGAUCAAUAGAGAAAGAAGACCCUGUUGAGCUUGACUCUAGUCUGACUUUGUGAACUGACUUGAGAGGUGUAGGAUAAGUGGGAGAUGGAAACAACGCAAGUGAAAUACCACUACUUUUAACGUUAUUUUACUUACUCCGUGAGUCAGAGACGGGGCUCUGCCCCUCCUUUUGGACCCAAGGCCCACCUCGAUGGGGCGAUCCGGGCGGAGGACAUUGGAAGGUGGGGAGUUUGGCUGGGGUGGCACAUUUGUUAAAAGAUAAUGCAGGUGUCCUAAGAUGAGCUCAACAAGAACAGAAAUCUCAUGUGGAACAAAAGGGUAAAAGCUCAUUUGAUUCUGAUUUCCAGUACGAAUACGAACCAUGAAAGCAUGGCUUAUCGUUCCUUUAGACCUUCAGAAUUUGAAGCUAGAGGUGUCAGAAAGUUAUCACAGGGAUAACUGGCUUGGGGCAGCCAAGCAUUCAUAGCAACGUUGCUUUUUGAUCCUUCGAUGUCGGCUCUUCCUAUCAUUGUGAAGCAGAAUUCACCAAGUGUUGGAUUGUUCACCCACCAAUAGGGAAUGUGAGCUGGGUUUAGACUGUCGUGAGAUAGGUUAGUUUUACCCUACUGAUGAUAGUGUCAUGAUAGUAAUUCAACCUAAUACGAGAGGAACCGUUGAUUCACACAAUUGGUCAUCGCACUUGGUUGAAAAGCCAGUGGUGUGAAGUUACCGUGUGUCGGAUUAUGACUGAAUGCCUCUAAGUCAGAAUCUAGGCUAAAGAAGUGAUGCCUAUGCUCGUCGCCCGUUUUUCAACCCACAUUAAGGGCCCUUUGGCCCCCAGAGGCAUGUGUCGUUGGCCAAGCCCCCGCAGUGGACGUGUUGUGUGGGCUGCCUUGAAGCAUAAUUCCAUUCCGACGAUGGGUGGAAUCCUUUGCAGAUGACUUAAAUAUGCAACGGGGUAUUGUAAGUGGCAGAGUGGCUUGCUGCCACGAUCCACUGAGAUUCAGCCCUAUGUCGCAUCGAUUCGU